rnacentral:rRNA from 1 species
GUGGGGAAUAUUGGACAAUGGGCGAAAGCCUGAUCCAGCCAUGCCGCGUGUGUGAAGAAGGUCUUCGGAUUGUAAAGCACUUUAAGUUGGGAGGAAGGGCAUUAACCUAAUACGUUAGUGUUUUGACGUUACCGACAGAAUAAGCACCGGCUAACUUCGUGCCAGCAGCCGCGGUAAUACGAAGGGUGCAAGCGUUAAUCGGAAUUACUGGGCGUAAAGCGCGCGUAGGUGGUUUUGUAAGUUGGAGGUGAAAUCCCCGGGCUCAACCGGGGAACUGCCUCCAAAACUGCAUGACUAGAGUACGGUAGAGGGUAGUGGAAUUUCCUGUGUAGCGGUGAAAUGCGUAGAUAUAGGAAGGAACACCAGUGGCGAAGGCGACUACCUGGACUGAUACUGACACUGAGGUGCGAAAGCGUGGGGAGCAAACAGGAUUAGAUACCCCGGUAGUCC